AGAACGAACGCUGGCGGCAGGCUUAACACAUGCAAGUCGAACGCCCCGCAAGGGGAGUGGCAGACGGGUGAGUAACGCGUGGGAAUCUACCUGGUUCUACGGAAUAACUGAGGGAAACUUCAGCUAAUACCGUAUACGCCCCAAGGGGGAAGAUUUAUCGGUGCCAGAUGAGCCCGCGUUGGAUUAGCUAGUUGGUGGGGUAAUGGCCUACCAAGGCGACGAUCCAUAGCUGGUCUGAGAGGAUGAUCAGCCACACUGGGACUGAGACACGGCCCAGACUCCUACGGGAGGCAGCAGUGGGGAAUAUUGGACAAUGGGCGAAAGCCUGAUCCAGCCAUGCCGCGUGAGUGAUGAAGGCCUUAGGGUUGUAAAGCUCUUUCAGUGGGGAAGAUAAUGACGGUACCCACAGAAGAAGCCCGGCUAACUUCGCGCCAGCAGCCGC
rnacentral:rRNA from 1 species